rnacentral:tRNA from 1 species
GCGCCCGUAGCUCAAUUGGAUAGAGCGCUUGACUACGGAUCAAGAGGCUGUGGGUUCAACUCCUGCCGGGCGUGCCA